GACGAACGCUGGCGGCGUGCUUAACACAUGCCAGUCGAACGGCAAGGCCCUGCUUUUGUGGGGUGCUCGAGUGGCGAACGGGUGAGUAACACGUGAGUAACCUGCCCUUGACUUUGGGAUAACUUCAGGAAACUGGGGCUAAUACCGGAUAGGAGCUCCUGCUGCAUGGUGGGGGUUGGAAAGUUUCGGCGGUUGGGGAUGGACUCGCGGCUUAUCAGCUUGUUGGUGGGGUAGUGGCUUACCAAGGCUUUGCCGGGUCGCCGGCCUGAGAGGGUGACCGGCCACAUUGGGACUGAGAUACGGCCCAGACUCCUACGGGAGGCAGCAGUGGGGAAUAUUGCACAAUGGGCGGAAGCCUGAUGCAGCAACGCCGCGUGCGGGAUGACGGCCUUCGGGUUGUAAACCGCUUUCGCCUGUGACGAAGCGUGAGUGACGGUAAUGGGUAAAGAAGCACCGGCUAACUACGUG
rnacentral:rRNA from 1 species